CGUGUAGGCGGUUCGGUAAGUGGGAUGUGAAAUCCCCCGGCUCACCCGGGGAACUGCAUCUCAUACUGCUGGACUUGAGUGCGGGAGAGGAUGGGGGAAUUCCUGGUGUAGCGGUGAAAUGCGUAGAUAACAGGAGGAACACCUGUGGCGAAGGCGCCCAUCUGGCCCGUUACUGACGCUGAGGCGCGAAAGCUAGGGGAGCAAACG
rnacentral:rRNA from 1 species